AUUGAACGCUGGCGGCAGGCUUAACACAUGCAAGUCGAGCGGAAACGAUGGUAGCUUGCUACCAGGCGUCGAGCGGCGGACGGGUGAGUAAUACUUAGGAAUCUACCUAGUAGUGGGGGAUAGCUCGGGGAAACUCGAAUUAAUACCGCAUACGACCUACGGGAGAAAGGGGGCAACUUGUUGCUCUCGCUAUUAGAUGAGCCUAAGUCGGAUUAGCUAGAUGGUGGGGUAAAGGCCUACCAUGGCGACGAUCUGUAGCUGGUCUGAGAGGAUGAUCAGCCACACCGGGACUGAGACACGGCCCGGACUCCUACGGGAGGCAGCAGUGGGGAAUAUUGGACAAUGGGGGCAACCCUGAUCCAGCCAUGCCGCGUGUGUGAAGAAGGCCUUUUGGUUGUAAAGCACUUUAAGCAGUGAAGAAGACUCCGUGGUUAAUACCCACGGACGAUGACAUUAGCUGCAGAAUAAGCACCGGCUAACUCUGUGCCAGCAGCCGCGGUAAUACAGAGGGUGCAAGCGUUAAUCGGAAUUACUGGGCGUAAAGCGAGCGUAGGUGGCUUGAUAAGUCAGAUGUGAAAUCCCCGGGCUUAACCUGGGAACUGCAUCUGAUACUGUUAGGCUAGAAUAGGUGAGAGGAAGGUAGAAUUCCAGGUGUAGCGGUGAAAUGCGUAGAGAUCUGGAGGAAUACCGAUGGCGAAGGCAGCCUUCUGGCAUCAUAUUGACACUGAGGUUCGAAAGCGUGGGUAGCAAACAGG
rnacentral:rRNA from 1 species